AUGGUUCUCCUCGCCGUCGCGUCCUCGCUCAAAACCCUAAACCCUACCUUGAGCCCGAGCCCCAGCCGACGCCGUCUCCUCCUCAGCUCCUCCCAUCUCCGCCUGCCGCCGCUGCUCUCGCGGAGCGGCCGCCUCCGCUGCUCGGCCGGCUACGGCGAUGCCGCCGCGCCGCAGCAGGCGGCUCCGACGACGCAGCGGCCGGACGAGAUCCCGUGGAGCAGGGAGCUCUGCAACUCGGUGCGGCUCAUAGGGACGGUGGGCACGGACAUCGAGCUGCGCCAGCUCCCCAGCGGCGCCUCCGUCGCGCGGGGGCGCAUUGCCGUCUGGAAGUCGGCCACCGAGACCACCUGGGUAACUCUUGCAUUUUGGGACGACUUGGCUGUUAUGGCCUCUGAGCAUGUAAAACAAGGAGACCGAAUAUUUGUUUCUGGACGGCUUGUAUCAGAUACUGUUGAGGAGGGGCCUGAGAAGCGGCAGGUUUACUACAAGGUUGUCGUUCAACAGUUCAACUUCAUUGAGUCCUUCCAACCUGUGCGGUUAUAUUCAGAGUCAAGCCAGGAUGGUGGAAAGCAUGGAGAUUAUGUUGGUAAUGAUUCUACCUCUGGUUCAACUGAGAAUAAAAAGGGAGAUUACAUGAGUUCCUCCUCUCGUUCAACUGAAGCACUGUGGCAAGCAUUCUUCGCUAAUCCUCUUGACUGGUGGGAUAACAGGAAAGAUAAGAAGAACCCAAGGUAUCCAGACUUCAAGCACAAGAGCACCGGCGAAGCGCUGUGGGUUGAGGGGAGGAACAACCCCAACUGGGUCGUCUCCCAGCUGGCGAUCUUGGACUCGAGGAUGGGUUCCCUGCAGGACAAGCAGAGGAAACCAGUCUCCUACAUGUACGCCGACGACUUCAUGACAUCUGACGCCAGCGACUAG
rnacentral:rRNA from 1 species